rnacentral:rRNA from 1 species
UGGGGAAUAUUGGACAAUGGGCGAAAGCCUGAUCCAGCCAUGCCGCGUGAGUGAUGAAGGCCUUAGGGUUGUAAAACUCUUUCGCCGGGGAAGAUGAUGACGGUACCCGGAGAAGAAGCUCCGGCUAACUUCGUGCCAGCAGCCGCGGUAAUACGAAGGGAGCUAGCGUUGUUCGGAAUUACUGGGCGUAAAGCGCACGUAGGCGGGCUAUUAAGUCAGGGGUGAAAUCCCGAGGCUCAACCUCGGAACUGCCUUUGAUACUGAUAGUCUUGAGAUCGGGAGAGGUGAGUGGAAUUCCUAGUGUAGAGGUGAAAUUCGUAGAUAUUAGGAAGAACACCAGUGGCGAAGGCGGCUCACUGGCCCGAUACUGACGCUGAGGUGCGAAAGCGUGGGGAGCAAACAGGAUUAGAUACCCUUGUAGUCCCUGAGCGGGCUGGCAAGGCGCAU